rnacentral:rRNA from 1 species
GAUGAACGCUGGCGGCGUGCCUAAUACAUGCAAGUCGAGCGAACAGACGAGGAGCUUGCUCCUUUGACGUUAGCGGCGGACGGGUGAGUAACACGUGGAUAACCUACCUAUAAGACUGGGAUAACUUCGGGAAACCGGAGCUAAUACCGGAUAACAUGUUGAACCGCAUGGUUCAACAGUGAAAGACGGUUUUGCUGUCACUUAUAGAUGGAUCCGCGCCGCAUUAGCUAGUUGGUAAGGUAACGGCUUACCAAGGCAACGAUGCGUAGCCGACCUGAGAGGGUGAUCGGCCACACUGGAACUGAGACACGGUCCAGACUCCUACGGGAGGCAGCAGUGGGGAAUCUUCCGCAAUGGGCGAAAGCCUGAUGCAGCAAUGCCGCGUGAGUGAAGAAGGUCUUCGGAUCGUAAAACUCUUUUAGUUGGGAAGAACAAAUGUGUAAGUAACUAUGCCCGUCUUGACGGUACCUAAUCAGAAAGCCACGGCUAACUACGUG